rnacentral:rRNA from 1 species
GAUGAACGCUGGCGGCGUGCCUAACACAUGCAAGUCGAGCGAAGCGGGGACGGGUGAGUAACACGUGGAUAACCUCCUCUAAGACUGGGGUAACCUCGGGAAACCGGAGCUAAACCGGCUAUUUACAGCUGGAUUCGUGCUGGAUUAGCUAGUUGGUAAGGUAACGGCUUACCAAGGCAACGAUGCAUAGCCGGCCUGAGAGGGUGAUCGGCCACACUGGAACUGAGACACGGUCCAGACUCCUACGGGAGGCAGCAGUAGGGAAUCUUGCGCAAUGGGCGAAAGCCUGACGGAGCAACGCCGCGUGUGUGAAGAAGGUCUUCGGAUCGUAAAGCACUGUUAGUGGGGAAGCGGUACCUGAAGAGGAAGCAACGGCUAACUACGUGCCAGCAGCCGCGGUAAUUC